rnacentral:rRNA from 1 species
GAAUCGGGUUAAUAUUCCCGAACCAGGACGUGGAUGUUGAGUGGCAACACAAGCGAAGCCGGGGACAGCUGCGGGGGCCCCGACGAGAGUUUUCUUUUCUUGUUAACAAGCGACACCGACCCCGGAAUCGGAUUGCCCGGAGAUGGGGUUGGCGGCUUGGUAAAGGCGGCCGCUUUUUGGCCGCUUCGGUGCGCCCUCGACGCUCCUUGAAAACCUGGCAGCGUGUUUUAUUCGCACCCCUGGUCGUACUCAUCACCGCAUCAGGUCUCCAAGGUUAGCAGCCUCUAGUCGAU